GAUCAUUUUGAUGGUUAUGACUCAUACGAUGGCUGUGAUGGAUUCACCAUAUACUACAAGUUCAAUGGAGUUGAUGAUGAAGACAUUCUAGCAGGCAAUCUUACUGCCAACUGUUCACUUAUCAGAUUGCCAUAUUACCAAACAGAACCUGGUAAUAAUUUGGCCAACUUCUUACUUUCUGCAUUUCUAGUAGAAUGGAAAUUGUCUGAUGACUGUAACAAAUGUCACUAUGGUGGAGGUCGAUGUCAGACUGAUAAGAAGAACAAUUUUCUUUGUUACAAAGGAACAUCAAAAAGGGGUUACCUUCAGACUAUCUGGUUUAAAGUUGCCACAGAUGUUCUAUUGACAGUCUCUCUACCUCUUAGGUAGGGGUAAGGUCUGCGUACACCUACCUUCACCAGACUCUACUUUGUAGUAUUACACUGGAAAUAUUGUUGUUGUUGUAUUCUCUGAUG